rnacentral:tRNA from 1 species
ACCUGGCUAGCUCAGUAGGUAGAGCAUGUGAGUCUCAAUCUUGAGGUUGUGGGUUUGAGCCCCACGUUGGGUG